rnacentral:lncRNA from 1 species
UUCACAUCGUCUUCCUCCUCGGCAGCCACUCUUGUGAGUUCGUCCCCGUUCAUCCUCCAAAAAACUUGUCAUCCUUUUGUUCUGGAAGCAUUGCAGUCCAUACUCAAUCGAUAACAAAGGUUAUGGUACCGAAUCACAACAUGUUUUCAAUAAAUACUUGGAUUUUGGGUUAGGAUGUUCCAAAUAAAUGAAACGGAGUAGGAACUUAAGAAAUUAUAUCCACACUGUAGGAUCUCUUCGAUCAACACCGUUACUAUCACAAUUCUUGACGCACUGAACAGAGCAGGGGUAUGGUCUCUUUGCAGUACAUGUCCGAUGUCUACUGCCUAAUUCUUUCUUGAUGAAGGAUUGCUUUGUAGUUUGAGCAAUCCUACUUCUGCCACUUGAUGGAGGAUUUGUAUUUGAGUACUCUAAACUGCUCUGUAGUUUGUACUUUGUACUGCCAGAUAUAGCUUAUGCCACUGGUCAGAUCUUAAUCUAUUCCUUUUCUGGUUCCUCAUUUAGGAUUCAACACAAUUUGGUCACUUUCGUCUUUUGCAUUGUCCUUGCUAAUUCCACAAGUUGCAUCUAGGUGUAAACCAUUAGAAAUUUAAGGUAGUACUGCCCUACAGGAACAAUGGGAAGCAGCUCAUGCAAGAGUUGGUAGCUAGUUGAUUCUUUUUCUUUUUCUUUUUCUUUUAACAAAUAGCCAGUUGAUUCAUGGAAGCAUAUGAGAGAGUAACAAACAUUGGAAGUUGCAACUAGGACAAAGGAUACAGGUACCUAUUUGUGUAAUUCCAUUUUUCCCCCUUUCCCUGUCAACUUUUGUUGGCAAAUUGUGAUAGCAUCUUUGUUCUGAGCAUUAAACAACACCGACUAACUUUCCCCAAAAUUUAUAUUACAGCAAUCCAGUAUGCAUUGUGAUUUAAGAUUCCAGUAAAAUUCUAAAUUUCCAUAUUUUUCUUUAAAAAAAUUAGGACAUACCGAAGCCAAUGAAGGUAUACCCUCAUUUUAUUUUUGACAUAUAUGACUUUACACAUUUUCAUGGUCAUUUAAAUUUAUUUACCGUAUUAUCAUUUGCAUUGCAGGUUAAGAUACUAGUGAAGAUCAGCCUACUGACAUGGUCACCUUGUCACUCCAUCAGGUACAGCACAUACAUCAUGUUAAUUAUGAUAAACAUGCUUCAUUCACAGCUGAACAAGUAUGUUUUUUAUCAGGUUCAAGUGUGUUAAUUCCACGUCAGGAUCUCAGUCAAGUUCCUACAUUCAUGUGAAGGUAACUAUGCUUUGCUUGUCAGGAGCAUAGUACCAUCACCAUUCAGUUCGUCAGGCAGACAGAGCAGAGCACAAGUCGGCAGUAGCUGUAACGCUUCAGCGACUUCACUUGAGCCGUCGAUUCCAC